rnacentral:rRNA from 1 species
UAGGAUGUGGCUGCGGCCGAUUAGGUAGAUGGUGGGGUAACGGCCCACCAUGCCGAUAAUCGGUAUGGGUUGUGAGAGCGAGAACCCGGAGACGGUAUCUGAGACAAGAUGCCGGGCCCUACGGGGCGCAGCAGGCGCGAAACCUUUACACUGCACGACAGUGCGAUAGGGGGACUCCGAGUGUGAGGGCAUAUAGUCCUCGCUUUUGUACACCGUAAGGUGGUAUAGGAAUAAGGACUGGGCAAGACCGGUGCCAGCCGCCGCGGUAAUACCGGCAGUUCGAGUGAUGGCCGAUAUUAUUGGGCCUAAAGCGUCCGUAGCU